CACGAAAUCUAUAUUAUAAUAAUAAUAUCGAAAUGUCGUGUAUAGGUUUUAUUAUUAUUAAUAAAUUAUUAUUAAAUAAUUGUAUUUAAAUAUACAGCCACAGAAGGUGCCAGCCCUGUUAUUUAAUAAUAUUUAUUAAAUUUAUAAAACUUUAGAGUCGUGUUGCUUGGAAGUGCAGCACAAAGUUGGUGAUAAACAUCAUCUAAGGCUAAAUAUUCCUAUGAAUCCGAUAGUGAACAAGUACUGUGAAGGAAAAUUGCAAAGUACUCCGGAGAGAGAGUUAAAGAGGACGUGAAACCGAUACGAUGGAAGCAUACAGAGCCAGUUGCACUAUUAUUAAUAUUUUUUUAUUAAUAAUUUUAAGCAUGGGUAUAUUGAUUAUUAAUUAGUUAUUUAUUAAAGAGUGAUAAAAUUUUUUAAAUUUUGUUAACUUUAAUAAAAUAAUUAUAUUUAUAAUUAAUAUUAUAUAUUAUUAAUAUAUUAAUAAUAUUUUAAUUAUUAAUAUAAUAUAAGACACAUGUGUUAAAUAUUAUUUAUUAAUAAUUAUUAUAUUAUUAUAAAUUAAUAAACCUAUGUAA
rnacentral:rRNA from 1 species